rnacentral:misc_RNA from 1 species
GUGUAUAAGAGACAGCUUGGUCAUUUAGACGGACAUCACCUGCAGGGCCUUCAACGCCGCGACGCUCGCCCUGGUGAGCUCCAUGGUCUGCUCGACGAAGUAAUUCUUCACGCCGCCGACUCGUGCGGCCGCGAAGGUUUUGACCCAGUCGAUGCUGCCUUUACCGACCGGCACCUGCACGCCAGGACCGCCUCGCGCUGACGUCGCAUUCAGGUCCACGUCCUGUACAU